AUUGAACGCUGGCGGCAGGCCUAACACAUGCAAGUCGAGCGGAGCGGCGGACGGGUGAGUAAUGCCUAGGAAUCUGCCUGGUAGUGGGGGAUAACGUCCGGAAACGGGCGCUAAUACCGCAUACUAUCAGAUGAGCCUAGGUCGGAUUAGCUAGUUGGUGGGGUAAAGGCCUACCAAGUCGACGAUCCGUAACUGGUCUGAGAGGAUGAUCAGUCACAGUGGAACGGAGACACGGUACAGACUCAUACGGGAGGCAGCAGUUGGGAAUAGUGGAAAAUGGGCGAAAGCAUGAUCCAGCCAUGCCGCGUGGGUGAAGAAGGUCUUCGGAUUGUAAAGCACUUUAAGUUGGGAGGCGUUACCAACAGAAGAAGAACAGGCUAACUUCGUGCCAGCAGCCGCGGUAAUUC
rnacentral:rRNA from 1 species